CCUGGGGAGGGCUGCAGCUAUGGCCGACACCGCCGCGCCGCCGCCGCCCGCUGCGCCUGCCUCGGGGCUUCCGGCAGCCCCCGGCAGCAACCCGCUGUCCCGCAAACUCAACAAGAUCCUGGAGACUCGCCUGGACAACGACAAGGAAAUGCUGGAAGCUCUCAAGGCUCUCUCGACCUUCUUUGUGGAAAAUAGUUUGCGCACCCGAAGGAACUUGCGUGGAGACAUCGAACGGCGAAGCUUAGCCAUAAAUGAAGAGUUUGUCCACAUAUUCAAGCAAGUUAAGGAGGAGCUUGAGAGUAUAAAUGAAGAUGUGCAAGCGAUGAGCAGCUGCUGUGAAGAUAUGUCCAGUCGUUUGAAGGCAGCAAAGGAACAAACCCAGGACUUGAUAGUAAAAACCACAAAGCUCCAAGCAGAAAAUCAGAGACUAGAAAUGAAAGCACAAGUUGCAGAUGCAUUCAUAGCAAAAUUCCAGCUGACACCAGAUGAAAUGAACCUCCUUCGAGGCACGAAGGAUGAGCCAAUUACUGAGGACUUUUUCAAGGCUUUGGGAAGAGUGAAGCAAAUUCACGAUGAUGUCAAGAUUCUUCUCCGGACAAAUCAGCAAAGGGCUGGCUUGGAAAUUAUGGAACAGAUGGCUUUACUGCAAGAGACAUCUUAUGAACGACUUUACAGAUGGACUCAAAAUGAAUGCAGGACUUUAACACAGGAAUCAUGUGACAUUUCUCCAGUUCUUGCUCAAGCCAUGGAGGCUUUACAGGAUAGGCCUGUCCUGUAUAAAUACACGCUGGAUGAGUUUGGAACAGCUAGGAGGAGUGCUGUAGUCCGUGGCUUUAUAGAUGCUCUUACUAGAGGAGGUCUGGGAGGUACUCCCCGCCCUAUUGAAAUGCACUCCCACGAUCCUCUGAGGUACGUAGGAGACAUGCUGGCCUGGCUGCAUCAAGCUACUGCUUCUGAAAAAGAACACCUAGAAGCUAUGUUAAAGCUUGUAACUAUUCAAGGUGUGGAAGAAAAUAUUCAAGAAGUAGUUGGGCACAUCACAGAAGGUGUCUGCAGGCCACUGAAGGUUAGAAUUGAGCAGGUGAUUGUUGCCGAGCCAGGAGCAGUUUUACUCUACAAGAUUUCUAAUCUUCUCAAGUUCUACCACCAUACAAUCAGUGGUAUUGUGGGAAACAGUGCAGCCACACUGUUGACAACGAUUGAAGAAAUGCAUUUGUUGAGCAAGAAAAUAUUCUUUAAUAGUCUGAGUCUUCAUGCAAGUAAACUAAUGGACAAGGUUGAACUCCCACCUCCCGAUCUUGGCCCGAGCUCUGCACUAAAUCAGACACUGAACUUGCUGCGGGAGGUUCUGGCAUCUCACGACUCAUCAGUUGUUCCACUGGAUGCCCGUCAGGCUGACUUUGUGCAGGUUUUGUCUUGUGUGCUAGACCCGUUGUUACAGAUGUGUACUGUGUCUGCUAGUAAUUUGGGCACAGCUGAUAUGGCAACCUUCAUGGUAAAUUCCCUUUACAUGAUGAAGACUACUUUGGCUCUCUUUGAAUUCACUGACAAACGUCUAGAAAUGUUACAAUUUCAGAUUGAAGCUCAUUUAGAUACACUUAUAAAUGAACAGGCUUCCUAUGUGUUAACAAGAGCUGGUCUGAGUUACAUAUACAACUCUGUGCAGCAACACAAACAGGAACAGGGUCCUCUUUCAAAUUUGCCAAAUAUGGAUUCUGUGUCCCUGAAGGUUGCAAUGGCUCAGUUUGAUCGCUAUUUGUCUGCUCCAGAUAGUCUGUUAAUGUCCCAGCUGAAUUUCCUUCUGAGUGCCACUGUGAAAGAGCAGAUAAUAAAACAGUCAACAGAACUGGUCUGCAGAGCUUACAGUGAGUUAUAUGCAGCUGUGAUGGAUCCUUCAAACGAAUAUAAGGACCCAGAAACCAUACUGCACAGAUCUCCUCAUCAAGUCCAGGCACUGCUUUCAUAGUCUUGCUAUGUUUAUCAGAAUCUGUAAUUCUGUAUUUGUUGAGUAUUCGCAUCACGUUAUUUUUCUGGUUUGAAUUUUAAUGUGUAACUGUAUGGUUAAAAUAUGUAGGAAUGCAGUUUUCUUUAAUCUGCUUGGCAGAAGUCUAGUCUUUCCUGUGUCUUUGAGUACCUUCUGUAAGCUGGAAAAUAGAAUAUAGAUUAAAAAUUAUUGUAAUGUAUUCCUCUAAUAGAAAUGGACCUUGAUAAUAUACAAUCUCUUUGAAAAGGGGAGUAAAGGAGAAAGAAGCUUUUUCCUUGCUGUACAUAAUCCUUUCAACUAGAGGUUGAACCAGGGUCUCUUAUGACCUCACCAGUAUUUUUUAUUUGCUCUUUUUUUCCCUGUUUGUCACUAUUUUCUCAGCCUACCAUCAGUAAACACUGAUAACUGUAGUUUCAGUACAACUAAUAUACUUUGAAUGUCUCAAGUUCAUCACUUGUACAUUUCAUAAAUAAUUUCAGAGUAUUGGAUGGUAUUUUCCAAAUCCUGUUUAUUACAUCUGUGGGGCAAAAUCUGUAUGUCCUUUUUUGGAAUCAGUUGUCAUCGUGGCUAGUUCUGGUACUUUCUGUAAGGAAAAGAAAUAUUUGAACUAUAGGCAUAUACAUAACCUGGAACUUAAAGCAUUAAGCUAUUUGUAUAGUUUUCUUUUAUGGAAGGAUUUUGUUCUAGUGCAACUGUUUGUAGAAAUCCUGAUAUCAGUUAAAACUUGAUGAUUUCUUAAGGCUGGGACCAGAAACAACCCAGAUUAGGAAAAUGGUUUGCACAGCAAUAUGGCCUUUCUUCCUUCACAUGUGCUUUUCAGUUUGGCUUCUUUUUAAGUACAGAAAAGGCCCUUCUGCUCUAGUACAAGUGUUUAUUCAGCUAACAACCCACCAAGAAAUUUUCUUGGUGCAUAUGUCUGCAGUGGCACCCCUAAACGUUAUCAUGAAGUUCACCUGUGGCUGCCACAGGUUGUCCUGGGAAUGUGGGUGGAAUUGCUGGGAUGUGUAGUUGUUGGAAGCUGAUGUGUAGAAAGCUGUGAGGGAAGAUUUCAUUUCUUUCCUCUUUCGGUGCAAAGCUGAAGCUGCUCUCUGUAGAAACCCUAGUUAUAUAGACUGUUACGGUUUAUGGGACCUUUGCUUCCAGCAAAAGAAGAACACAAGUAGGACACUUGUUCUCUGUUGGGCCUUGUGGUAAUUUUCUGCAAAUCUCUUAAACGUGUUUUUCUUUUAGGAAAGGUUUGUUAUAGAGAAACCUUCAGGAAUCCAAAAAUUAGCAAAAGGAAUUUGAGACCUUUUGGGGUUCCAUUUUUUUUGUUUGCUUGGGUGUUUUUAAAAGAUUAUUUAAACUGUUUCAUUGGAAACGUUUCACUUUUGUUUUUUCCCUCUGUUGUUGUAUGGGUGCUGCACAGUUAUUACAUUUGCCUGAGUUUCCACUCAUAUGAGAUGUGACUUCUUGAUAUAAAUCAAGGGGGAGAUUCCCAGGAUUUCCUCAUGGGGAGCUGUGAAGCUGCAGCCCUCCAGUCGCUCGAUUGGAUGGACGACCCAUAAGCACUGCAGUGAACGGAAUCAUUCUGGGUGUUGGGGCCGGGCCCAUACUCAGACGGGUGCUGCAGGUCUGACCUGAGUGUCACGGUGAUGAGGAGGUGCUGAGGCAUUUUAAAGGUGAUGCAUGUGCUCCUGUGCUGCAGUGAAGCAGGAGUUCGCUGCCUAGCUGGGUUGCUGGGCUGGGGCUCCACUGGGCAUGUUCACACCAGCACAGGAAAGGUGGUGACCAAAUGAUCAAAAGGUGGGUGAACCUCUUGUUGCACAAAGGUCCUCUAGUACUCCAGCUCCCUGCGCCCUGGAGUGAAGAGCCACUUUGUGUAGAGAUAGUGUAGAGCUGAAGGAAACCCAGAACAUUGCUUCUGUCUUGGUCCUUGACUAACUGCUCAUCCCUUCAAAGGUACGAUGUGGGUAAAUCUUCAGUAAUCUGCAGAACCCUCUAGUGCAAAACUAUGGAAUAACAAUGUGCAAAGGAGCCUUUACACCUGAAAAUGUACACUUACCCCUUAUGUACAUUACUGUAAAUACCUCAUGUACAUUAAGGCCUAAAUUAGCUUAAAACCUCUCAUGCUAUAGUUAUCCCCCAGACUUUGCAUACAAUGAAAAGAUGAACAACAAAUACUUUUCCCUUUACAGAAAAAAAAAGUUCAUUUUUGCUACCUUGCUUUAAGGACCCCAUGAUCAAGCAAGAUACGGCUGAGAAAUGUUUGAUAGGUUACUGCAGAGCAGCUGACAAAAAAGAAAGAGACUGUUGCAUGUUUCAUAUUCAGACAAUGAAGCUUUCAUUUGCUGCCUAGUUCACAGAUGUGGCAUUGUCAAAUUGCAGGAAAAUGCCUGGCAGACUGUAUCAUCGACUAUAUUUAGGGAGGGAAAAAAUUCAGAACACACUAUUUAUAGAAGCCACACAAAUAAGCACAGAGUUCUUAUCAGCCAAAGAUAACAUUAGUCGUGAUUUAUCAAAGUAAUCUUUAUUUUAUGGAAAGUGGAUAAUAGGGUGUAAUUUAAUCCUUUGUGAAUGUAAUGUAUAUUUCAAAGGGUUCUUUUUUGUCAAUAAAACCAUUUGUUGUACUUGUUAAACUAAUUAGUCUUGUUGCUGUUGCUCAUGACAGGAUAAAAGACUCCCGUUAACGAAAAGAGGGAGGAGAAGACGGGUUCAAAAGUUUCUGAAAGAUUUUGUGCUCCUUGCCAGCCAGUUUUCUGAUUAAAACAGGUUUCGCCUCUUGCUGUGGAUGAGAGUUUGUGCAGAUGAUAUAUUCUCCUUUUUUAAUUCCAAAAUGGAUUACCCCCAAAGUUCACCUUCUCUCUGGGCAUUUCAUGUGAUGCUACAGGCAUCAGGGGCUCCUCUGGCCUCUGCAGGGCCUGAUGCGGGCAGAGGCUGUGCUGGCUGACCCGUGGCCCAGCGCCCGUGGGGAGGGAGAUGGCCCUGGACACUUCUACUUGCUCCUUGCAUUUUUUCCACCAUGUGCCAACAUGUUCCAGGAGUCUCACAAAAGAGUAAAAAGGAAGGAAAAGAGAGCUGCCUGGAUGCAUCCUGUGUGGGUCCCUGUCCGUCCGUGUGCCCUUCUGCCCAGGGGCAGAGCGCAGGGCUGAAGCUGUGCCGAGUCUUGGCUCUGCAAGAGGCCUCAACAGCAGUGCCAGCCUGGAGGCAGGACAUGAGCUCAUUCUCUGGAUCUGCAGUUGACCUUGAAAGAUCCGAAUCAGAAGUGG